UACAGAGGGUGCGAGCGUUAAUCGGAUUUACUGGGCGUAAAGCGUGCGUAGGCGGCUUUUUAAGUCGGAUGUGAAAUCCCUGAGCUUAACUUGGGAAUUGCAUUCGAUACUGGGAAGCUAGAGUAUGGGAGAGGAUGGUAGAAUUCCAGGUGUAGCGGUGAAAUGCGUAGAGAUCUGGAGGAAUACCGAUGGCGAAGGCAGCCAUCUGGCCUAAUACUGACGCUGAGGUACGAAAGCAUGGGGAGCAAACAGG
rnacentral:rRNA from 1 species